rnacentral:rRNA from 1 species
AUUGAACGCUGGCGGCAGGCCUAACACAUGCAAGUCGAGCGGCUGCAGGGUGCUUGCUCCUGCAUUCAGCGGCGGACGGGUGGGUGAUGCCUAGAAAUCUCCCUGUUAGUGGGUGAUAACGUCCGGAAACGGGCGCUCAUACGCCAUAACUCCAUACGGCGAACGUGUGGGAGCUUCGGACCUCCCGCUAUCGGAUGAGCCUAUGUCGGAUUAGCUAGUUGGGGGGGUAAAGGCCUACCAAGGCGACGAUCCGUAGCUGGUCUGAGAGGAUGAUCAGUCACACUGGAACUGAGACACGGUCCAGACUCCUACGGGAGGCAGCAGUGGGGAAUAUUGGACAAUGGGCGAAAGCCUGAUCCAGCCAUGCCGCGUGGGUGAAGAAGGUCUUCGGAUUGUAAAGCACUUUUGUUUGGGAGGAAGAGCAGUAAGUUAAUACCUCGCUGUUUUGACGGUACCAACAGAAUAAGCACCGGCUAACUUCGUG